AUUGAACGCUGGCGGAAUGCUUUACACAUGCAAGUCGAACGGCAGCACGGACUUCGGUCUGGUGGCGAGUGGCGAACGGGUGAGUAAUAUAUCGGAACGUAUCCAAUAAUGGGGGAUAACUAAUCGAAAGGUUGGCUAAUACCGCAUACGCCCUACGGGGGAAAGCUAGGGACCUUCGGGCCUGGCGUUAAUGGAGCGGCUGAUAUCUGAUUAGCUAGUAGGUGAGGUAAAGGCUCACCUAGGCGACGAUCAGUAGCUGGUCUGAGAGGACGACCAGCCACACUGGAACUGAGACACGGUCCAGACUCCUACGGGAGGCAGCAGUGGGGAAUUUUGGACAAUGGGCGAAAGCCUGAUCCAGCCAUUCCGCGUGAGUGAAGAAGGCCUUCGGGUUGUAAAGCUCUUUCGCAAGGGAAGAAAACUUAGGCGCUAAUAUCGCUUGAGGUUGACGGUACCUUGAUAAGAAGCACCGGCUAACUACGUGCCAGCAGCCGCGGUAAUACGUAGGGUGCGAGCGUUAAUCGGAAUUACUGGGCGUAAAGCGUGCGCAGGCGGUUUUGUAAGUCAGAUGUGAAAUCCCCGAGCUCAACUUGGGAACUGCGUUUGAAACUAUAAGACUAGAAUAUGUCAGAGGGGGGUAGAAUUCCACGUGUAGCAGUGAAAUGCGUAGAGAUGUGGAGGAAUACCAAUGGCGAAGGCAGCCUCCUGGGAUAAUACUGACGCUCAUGCACGAAAGCGUGGGGAGCAAACAGGAUUAGAUACCCUGGUAGUCCACGCCCUAAACGAUGUCAACUAGUUGUUGGGGCCUUCGGGCCUUAGUAACGCAGCUAACGCGUGAAGUUGACCGCCUGGGGAGUACGGUCGCAAGAUUA
rnacentral:rRNA from 1 species